AAACUACACACGUAGAAAGAUGUGUAUCAGGACCUCUGGACGCGGGUUCAAAUCCCGCCGUCUCCAUAU
rnacentral:tmRNA from 1 species